CAUUUUCAAAGCGCUAACAUUUUCUCUCUCUCGCUAUCUCAACGCACUAUAAGAAACGAGGCAUCCCCGACGCUUGGGGGAAUCCUUUGCCAGUAGAAUCAUCUUCUCCGUAGAAUCACUUUCUGCUGCAACUCCAGCAGCUACCCACCGCAGCGCUCUCUCUCAAUCGAGCGGCGAAGCAACCACCUUGGCGCAAGCAUUCUCGGUCUCUCUCUCUCUCUCUCUCUCUCUCUCUCUCUCUCUCUCUCUCUCGAUCUCGUGCUCAAUCUCUCUCUUGAGAUCGAGCAUCUUCAAUGUUGAAACCCUAAUAAGGGUUUUACAAUGGUGAAUUCCUAAUUAGGGAUUUACAAUGUUGAAAUUCUAAUUAGGGAUUUACAAUGUUGAAACCCUAAUACCCAUUUUUCUAGUGAUGAUAAUCAGGAUGUUGGUUCAUUAUGUGAUUCUUUUUGGAAAAUCUGGACUCUGUCAUCCUUUUGUUUAGUGUUGUUAAAAAUCCUAUGAUUUUUUUUUUUUCCAAUUUCAUUAUUGAAAGGUUCUUAUAUGAGGCACUCAGGAAAUGGAAUGACAUAGGGUUUCAUGACUGUUUAACGAUCUUAAAGUUCGUUGGAUCUUAUAGGCUGCAGGGAUAUGAUAUUGAAACAUAUAUUUAUAGGUACCUUGUUCCAUUGUCUGAUUGGUUUGAACAUUGGACAGUUGAAAUGCUUGGGUACUGGAAAUGCCUCCUGAGUGGUUUAGUUAUUAUUAAAAUUCAAUUUGAAUUAUUUUUUUGAUGAGGGUGGAAUUUCUGGAACUAUCGUUUUGAUUCAAAUGUUGUCUUUUUGUAAAUAAUUUUUAUUGAAAUAUUUUAACAGUAUCAAUUAGCAACCAUAGGUGUUAUUGAUAUGCAUCUUUCUUUUUCCCAUUUAAUUAUUUGGCAUCUCCUCUCCUAGUAUUUCGAAAAAAAAAUGCAGACGAGUUGUUUGUUAAAAUGCCAAAGAGAUGUGAUUUGUGGAAAAUGGUAUGCUUUCAGUUUGGUCUUUCUUUUUCCCAUUGUUUAUAUGAAUGCUUGUAUAUAUGCAUGAUCAACAAUGUAUGCAUGCCUGUAAAAUGAUGGACAAAUGUGUUAAUGGGGUUUCUCUAAGCACACAUGCAAGUGAAAAAAAAAAAAACAGCGCUAGAAGACUGUCUUUGAAAAUCCUAUUGUUCCUCUCCCUCCAAAUCCUCCAUAGGAUCCCAAAGAAAACCAAUCCCCAAAUGAGGCAUUGAAGAUCCAGAUGAUUUCAAACCUUAGAAGCAAUUCCAAUCAGACUUGGCCAUAGCACAGUGAAUUAAAAUAUGAUCGACUGAUUCCAGUUCUGAAUUGCACAUGAUGCAUCUAUCAGGAAUCAUCAUGCUGCAUUUUCUCAUUGCAUUUUUUUUUUUUUUUCAUAAUAAGGACAUUGGCAUGUUAUGCCAAUGUUGUGAGUAAUUCACUAGAGUAUGGGUGUUGCUGGCUUGUUACCUGUUAGUAGUUAGUAUGCAACAUGAAGCUAAGUUAGGUUAGACACCACAUAUUAUCUUCACCCAUAAGAGUGCAUGUUGCUCUUUGGGCAUGACACGGAAGAGGGGAUUGAUAUUCGUGGAAAUUGCCCGGUGUCUUUUACACUUGAUCCUAGGGAGGUGAAUGAGGAGACCAAUUACCUUACUAAGAUGGGGGCUCUUAGCUCGUCUCUGGAUAUCUGUUAUGAGAUAGUUGUGUUGCUUUUGUUUUGUUUGUCUUUCGGGCCUCUGUGCUAGCCUUUGUUUUAGUAGCUGUUUUGUUUUUAUCUUGCUUUUGUAUCUGCAGGUCUGCGUAGUUGUCCCUGUUUGUGUUUUUUCUCUCUUUAAUAAAUUUCCAAUUCAUAAAAAAUGGUCACAUUUAUAAUGGCUGUGAUUGUCCAUGAUAAUGUGUUUUGACAAGGUAGUUCUUUUAUACCAAGGUUAGGAUGUGAUGUGCAAACGCAUUCUUGUUAACAUUUGUGUUUAUCCUGAUUUUACUAGUUAUUCCUAAGCACCUAAUGUUUUUUUGAAAAUUGGAAAAAUGCGGUGCAAAAAAAGAGUUUGCUAAAACUAAAGAUGAUUUGAAGUCUCAUCAGAGUGUCGGGCAGAUCAUUGGAGAAGUUCUUCGUCCUCUCGACAAUGAGUGAUAACUAUUUUGUCUUUACUCCCGAAUCAGAGGCUUCCCUUAACCUAAGAGGCAGAUCUGACAAUCGGAGAUCUCCAAGGCGCCUUGUGUUUGUUACUUCACAGUUUUCAGCAGAAGAAUCGAGAGGUUUUUGGGUUGCUGAUUUCAGUGAGCUGGAAGUAGGAGAGCUGCUAGAAGUUAGCUGAUUUUCCCUGUUUAUUCCACAAAUCAAUGUUUUGUUGCUUCAAAAGGCAUAGUUUGAGGGAGGUUUUGGAUGCCCCAAAUAUCAUGACUUUGAUAAAGGAUACAAAAGCGGCACAAGAGGUAAUAGAGGAAGUCAUAUUUGGUUAAUGUUCAUCUAAUGUUUCUAUUGCAGUUCUCUUUCAUUGCAAUGUCAUUUUUCUUGUACUGUUUAUCUUUCAGGUCUGAGCUCUGAAGGAUUUUUUCGAUAUGCUUUCAAAUGUCAGGUUCUGCACUUGAUAUGACAUCUGUGAUGUAUUUUUAUUGUUUUAUAUUUGUAACAACCAGCAACUAUGCUGAUUGAAGAAAUUUCAUGUUAACAUAACUUCGGA